GACCCCGUAGUUCAGUGGUAGAAUGUGUGAUUCCAGCGCGUACUUCCCGGACUUUUCUCAACUGAGCCACGGGAAAGUCCAGAGGUGGUUCCACAAGGUCAUCCGUUCAAUCCGGGUCGGGGUCA